rnacentral:rRNA from 1 species
GUCUACAGCCAUACCACCCUGAAUGUGCCCAAUCCUGUCUGAUCUCAGAAGCAGGAUUGGGCCUCGUUAGUACUUGGAUAGGAGACCACUUAGGAAUACCAGAUGCUGUAGGCA